rfam:Necator americanus N_americanus-1.0_Cont64.46, whole genome shotgun sequence.
GGUCCAUUGGCGCAGCUGGUUAGCGAGUGGUACUUAUAAGCAUGAGCAAUGCCGAGGCCGGGAGUUCGAUCCUCCCAUGGAGCA